CAUUUUUGUUUUUUGCUUUUUGAUUUUUUGUUGGUGGGGGGUGGGUGACAGGGUCUUGCUCUGUGUUGCCCAGGCUGGAGGGCAGUUGUGCAAUUGUAUUAAUAGCUCACUGCAGCCUCAACCUCUGGAGUUCAGGUAAUCCUUCCACCUCAGCCUCCUGGGUAGCUGGGACUACAGGCAUGAGCCAACACGCCCAGCUAAU
rnacentral:lncRNA from 10 species